GGUCUUGUUUUUUUAUCCGUGAUUCUAAAAGUUGAAUUGGUCUCGAGGGAACCCUUCCACGGUCAUUUUGGAUGGAAUUUGAUCCGAAAUGAUGCUCAGACACCACAUUGUAUAGAUCAAAACACUUUCUACUAUCUCUUAACCCCAACGAGAGCGCUCUAAAGUACAAGCCAAAUAACAACGGCCUCAUUGCACAACAAUCAGAAUCUGGAAGUUCAAAGAGCUGGGUGACAAUUACAAGAAGCAAGAGGCAGGCAAAUAGAUUCUAUGAUCCUGUGAGGCUUGAAUGCCUGAAGGCAAAUAGGUACUGAAAAUUUGGACUUAUCAUGCGUACAAAAUCGAGAUCAUGGGAAUAUUGCUCUCUUCUUUUCUGCAGUAGAGGCUUUGAAUUGUCAAUUUGUAUCUUCUCCUGAAAGCUGGCAUGUA